AGAGUUUGAUCAUGGCUCAGGAUGAACGCUGGCGGCGUGCUUAACACAUGCAAGUCGAACGGUGAAGCCCAGCUUGCUGGGUGGAUCAGUGGCGAACGGGUGAGUAACACGUGAGCAAUCUGCCCCUGACUCUGGGAUAAGCGCUGGAAACGGCGUCUAAUACUGGAUAUGAACCGUGGAGGCAUCUUCAACGGUUGGAAAGAUUUUUUGGUCAGGGAUGAGCUCGCGGCCUAUCAGCUUGUUGGUGAGGUAAUGGCUCACCAAGGCGUCGACGGGUAGCCGGCCUGAGAGGGUGACCGGCCACACUGGGACUGAGACACGGCCCAGACUCCUACGGGAGGCAGCAGUGGGGAAUAUUGCACAAUGGGCGCAAGCCUGAUGCAGCAACGCCGCGUGAGGGAUGACGGCCUUCGGGUUGUAAACCUCUUUUAGCAGGGAAGAAGCGAAAGUGACGGUACCUGCAGAAAAAGCGCCGGCUAACUACGUGCCAGCAGCCGCGGUAAUACGUAGGGCGCAAGCGUUAUCCGGAAUUAUUGGGCGUAAAGAGCUCGUAGGCGGUUUGUCGCGUCUGCUGUGAAAUCCCGAGGCUCAACCUCGGGUCUGCAGUGGGUACGGGCAGACUAGAGUGCGGUAGGGGGAGAUUGGAAUUCCUGGUGUAGCGGUGGAAUGCGCAGAUAUCAGGAGGAACACCGAUGGCGAAGGCAGAUCUCUGGGCCGUAACUGACGCUGAGAGCGAAAGGGUGGGGAGCAAACAGCUUAGAUACCCUGGUAGUCCACCCCGUAAACGUUGGGAACUAGUUG
rnacentral:rRNA from 1 species